rnacentral:misc_RNA from 1 species
AACUGAUACUACCUGCGGGAACCUGCGGAAGGAUCAUUACCGAGUGAGGGUCUUUUCAGGCCCAACCUCCCACCCGUGUCUAUUUUGUACCUUGUUGCUUCGGCGGGCCAACCGGCUUUGAUCGGUUGCGCCACGGAAAGGUGGGAUUUCUAUCCCAAGCCAAACUUUUCCGGGCUUUGCGCUCGCCGGAGACCUCCAACAUGAACACUUUUUGAGAAGUUUGCAGUCUGAGUUCGAUUG